AGAGAAUAGGAGAUCGUUGUUCUUCAGGUAUGGUUUUAGCAAAGAAGUUGUUGAGUGCCCAGGGAAAACUGUGGAAGCCAAUUGAUGAUGGCUGCAUUGCUGCUGGAUAGGAGACUGAAAAAAAUGGCUUGCUAAAUUGCUGCAUCUGAAUUAGGACUUUAGGACUUUAUAUUUCAUUGGAUAUUUGUAUUUGAAUUUGGACACUUUGAAUUCGAAUUUGCAGCUUGAACUUUGUAUCUUGAUAUUGUGUUUUGAUUCAAAUCUUCAACAGCUUGAAAUUUGCAACUAUA